rnacentral:rRNA from 1 species
GAUGAACGCUGGCGGCGUGCCUAACACAUGCAAGUCGAGCGAGAAGUAAAGAAAUGAAGCUUCGGUAGAUUUUCAUUAUGGAAAGCGGCGGACGGGUGAGUAACGCGUAGGCAACCUGCCCUGUACAGGGGGAUAGCCACCCGAAAAGGUGAUUAAUACCCCAUGAUGCAAGAGAUACACAUGUAUCACUUGUCAAAGAUUUAUCGGUAUGGGAUGGGCCUGCGUCUGAUUAGCUAGUUGGUAGGGUAACGGCUUACCAAGGCAACGAUCAGUAGCCGACCUGAGAGGGUGAUCGGCCACAUUGGAACUGAGACACGGUCCAAACUCCUACGGGAGGCAGCAGUGGGGAAUAUUGCACAAUGGGGGAAACCCUGAUGCAGCAACGCCGCGUGAAGGAAGAAGGCCUUCGGGUUGUAAACUUCUGUCCUAGGGGAAGAAACAAAUGACAUA